rfam:Desulfotomaculum ferrireducens strain GSS09, complete genome.
UCUAUCGCGAGGUAGAAUCUGAAGGAAGUCGGCGGCAAACCUCUGGCCCGAGGACCACGAACUCCAGGUGAGGCUAGCGACAGUUGGAUGAAUCUGCAAAGCAAGAUAAAGUCCAUGCUACCAAAGGCUGUCGAGAGUAAAUGGAGCGGGUAGAUGGAGGGAAAGAUAACGUU